rnacentral:lncRNA from 10 species
GCGGGGGUGGGGUCUUGGAGGGUCGCAGGUCGCGGCGCUGGGGAUGGUGGGAGCCUGCGCAGCUGGCUGGGCGGUCUCUUUCUCUCUCUCCUUUUUUUUUUUUUUUUUUUUUUUUUUUUGUCAGCCGGGUUCAAUGCGCCAUAUUGAAGAGGACGGGUCUAAUAGAUCGCUGGAGACACAAUUUAACUGAACCCCGCCCGUUGUGGACUGACUUUGAUGCUCUGAGUCCCUCCCUCCUUCACGCCGCUAGCAGGCCCUGAUGUAGAUUGCCUUUGUCUUACUUGGGACGUUUACCUGAGCGCUUGGUGCUGGUGUCGGGACCGGGAGAUAGGAGUGUCUCAGGAGAGACCUGGCCGAAAACCGCGAGAAAGAAAAGUGAAGCCUAGUGAAACUGCCUUUGCAGUGACUCAAGAAAAACUCAUCACCUGGAGUCCGUGUAAGCUCGGCGACAGCCCUAGCAGCGAGGCCAAAACAGUUUGGGAAGAAAGAAAACCUAAAGUAUUUGCCGUUGGUGAUUCAAGGGAAUCAAACUUGACGUAUGGAGCCAAGAAAGCCCUUGGAAAAACUGGCCUCAUAUUUUGUGUACACAGUCCCUGUACAGGGUUUCUGACCUGUGAGUCACUGAAAACUAAGCUGCGCUUUCCUAAAGUCCUGCGAACUGAAGCCAGACAACUUAAACCUCAGAAGAAAAUAACAGCAACCUAUUUAUAUACAUAAGCCACUUUCAUACCUGCCUACUGUUGUAUAGACUUCAGAGUAAUGUGGCCUGUAUCGAUUUUCCAGGAGUAUUCUUUUGUGUGUUGUUUUUUCUCAAUUCCUCCUAUUUUCUCUUUACAGGAUGUGAGACUUCACAACCUGCUAAAAAUGAGCUUUCAGGACCUACCCAUAUAGGAAUAAACCAUCCUAGCCAUGAGAGAUCAGAUGAAACCUGAGACCAGAGAGACUCAUUUGUUUCAAAAUAGUUUCUCCAAAAGAUUUUAUAAAAGAAAAGGCUGGGGGGAGUGGGAUAUGAAAGGAAAAUGAAUCUUGGGGCCCCCAAAUCACUAAGCUCAAGGGAUAAGUCAAGUUAGAAACUGUUCAGGGCCAACUUACCUUGCAUUCUAUUCAAAUUCACCCCUCUGCUCACUUAGAUGCAUAUCUGAUUGUAAUCAGAAACUCAAAAGAAUGCAGCAGUUUGUCUCUCACCUAUCUAUGACCUGGAAGCCCCCUUCCCCGUUUGAGUCUUCCUGCCUUUGCUUCACUUUAUCCCUGCCUUUCUAGACUGAACCAACAUACUUCUUAGAUAUAUUGAUUGAUGUCUCAUGUCUCCCUAAAAUGUAUAAAACUAAGCUGGGCCCCAACCACCUUGGGCACAUGUCGUUAGGACUUCCUGAGACUGUGUCACAAGUUUGUGUCCACAACUUUGACAAAAUAAACUUUUUAAAUUAACUGAGACCUGUCCUAAAUUUUUAGGGUUCCAUCAGAUAUGCAUUUCUCUCACCUGAGCAUCAGAGGGAUGAUUUCGAGUUCUCUGUGUUUUUUGUCCACAGGAAUUUCCUUGUGGGCAAAUUCUGAGGGAGGGAUGUAGCUUUUUUAUGUUUGGAGCUAUUUUAUUUAGAAAUAAAAUGGGAGGCAGGUUUGCCUGAGUCAGUUGCCUGCUUGACUUCCUUUGGCUUAGUCAUUUUGGAGUCCUGAGAUUUAUUUUCUUUUCACAUACCUGUUUUAUUUAUGAUGGUUUAUGGUCAUUGAACCUUGUAACAUUGAUUACAUUUCUUUUCACUGGUCUUUUUUCUUAAGUAGAUAAACUUAUUUUUAACUUGGGCACAAGAGAGCAUAAAAAUUAUAUGAGGUACAUAGCCUGCUUAAAUAGAAUAUUUAAAAUACGUUUUGUCCACAGAGCUGGAAUUCUUUGUAAAUGAAAACCAAAUUUUACUUAAUUUUUAGAGAUAGGAUCUUGGCUUUGUCGCCUAGGCUAGAGUGCUGUGGGGGCAAUCAUAGCCCACUGCAACCUCGAAUUCCUGGCUUAAGUGAUCCUCCCAUCUCAGCCUCCUGGGUGCUUGGACAACAGACAUGACACCUUACCUGGCUAGUUAAAAAAAAUUUUUUUUGUAGAGAUGGGCUUUGCCUGUGUGGCCCAGGCUGCUCUUGAACUCCUAGGUUCAAGUGAUCCUCCAGCUUGGGCCUUCCGAAGUGCUGGGAUUACAUUGCUUCCAGCUUUAGUUUUUUAAAUGUUUAACUUGUUUAACUUAUUUAACUUGCUGUUUAUUAUUUAAUGGAGAGCUUUUAGUGUUUGUCUUUUGAGGUGGGAUCUUGCCAUGCCCAGACUAGCCUUGAAGUCCUACAGUCAAGUGAUCUUUGCAUCUCAGUCUCCCAAGAAGUAGUGGUAGAGAAUUUUUAUGUUACAUUCCUUUCUCUGUGUAUAUGUUUGUGGGAGGACAUAUGUCCCUUUGUAUGUUUGGGCAUAUAUAUUUUUUGUGUGAAAGUUAUGCAUGUUAUUGUUGAUCAAUACAAGAGGUUUAGAGGCCAGAGAAGAGAAAUAAAAUGGGAAAAACUACAAACAUUCUACCUCCCAUGAUACCAUGCUAUAAUGGCAAUCAUAAUAUUUAUGUAUUUUUUACUUUUUUGUGUUCAUUUUUAAAAAUUAGAUAAAAAUAGUUUAAGCUAGAGGCUUCUCUCUUUCAUCUUUUUUUUUCUAAUUUAAGUUUUCCCUAAGUAGGAAUUUUGGUAAUACUUCAUUAUAUUGAUGUAUCAAGAUUUCUUUAGUUUCUCCUUUGUUGUCUUUAGGUUGUCUACAAUAUUUUUUGUCAUUGUGAAUAUGCUGUCAUGAACAUUUUGAUGCUGAUUAUUACCAGAUUAGUGUGUUGUGUCAAAGUUUUCAUCAGUUGGAUUAUUUUUCAGUUUAGUAAGUGAUGCAAGCCAAAACUAAAACUCUAAGGCACCUUCUCCCCACCCAACCAGUCAUCUGAGUAGACUUCCUCCUCAGCCAGGGCAGUCAUAGCCCACUGCAACCAGCCAGCCCCUUUCCAUUCCAGUAUCCCUUUCCCUUUAAUAAAAUUUAAGGCCAAACAUGGUGGUUCAAUGCCUGUAAUGCCAGCACUUUGGGAGGCUGAGGUGGGCGGAUCAUGAGGUCAGGAGAUAAAGACCAUUCUGGGAAACAUGGUGAAACACUGUCUCUACUAAAAGUAUAAAAAUUAGCUGGAUGUGGUGGCAUGUGGCUGUGGUCUCAGCUACUCGGGAGGCUGCUGAGGCAGGAGAAUCGCUUGAACCUGGGGAGGCAGAGGUUGCAGUGAGCAGAGAUCAUGCCACUACACUUUAGUCUGGUGACAGAAUGAGACUCCAUCUCAAAAAAAAAAAAAUGAUUUGUGAGAUGAAUUUGUUUUGAAAAUAUUAGCUUGUUUUCAGUUGUGAUACAUUUGAAGUUGGUACAGAGUCCAUUUUCUUUUAUGUGUUAAUGUAUUGACAAUAUAGUUGUGUUGACAACUUCUUUUCUUAUUUCCAGUUCAGUCUUUACAGAAGCUGACGAGAGAUUUCCUUGUAUUUUAUGGUGGUAUGAUUGGCCUUAGAGCACUUCAGUUUUGAGAUCUCUGCUGUAUUUGUAUACAAGUAUUUUGGAAGGUCAGUUGAUAGGAUGAAUGAAAAACAAAAAUUGGAAGUAAUGGUACUAGUAAUAAGUGGGGAUUUUCAUGUAGGUAAAGGAACUGAUAAGUCAUAGGGAAUCCGUGAGUUCUUAAUCUUACUGAGUUUAGUUGUGUUCUUUGAUUAUUUUGGAUAGCUUUGUUUAACGGUGAAUGAAAUGAUUAAAAUGGAAAAAUUAAGUGCAGAAAAUAUGUUUAACAUUAUAUAGGAUGUCUUGUUUUAGGCAUUUAUUGCUAGAUAACAUAUGUCCAUUCUUGUAUUGCUAUAAAGAAAUAUUGGAUACUGGCUAAUUUAUAAAUAAAAGAGAUUUAUUGGCUCAUGAUUCUGCAGGCUGUACAGGAAAUAUGAUUCUGGAAUCCGCUUGGCUUCUGGAAAGGCCUCAGGAAACUUAGAAUGAUGACACAAGGCAGAGGGGAAGCAGGCACAUCUUACAUGGCAGGAGCAGGGAGCAAGAAAGAGUGAAGCGGGAGGUGCUACACACUUUUAAUAAUCCAGAUCUGAGUCAGGCAUAGCAGCUUAUGCCUAUAAUCCCAGCACUUUUGGGAGGCCAAGGCAGGCAGAUCACCUGAGGGUCAGGAGUUCAAGGCCAGCCUGGCCAACAUGGUGAAACCUCAUGUCUACUAAAAGUACAAAAAUUAGCUGGGUGUGGUUGCACCUGCUUAUAAUCCCAGCUGCUCAGGAGGCUGAGGCAGGAGAAUUGCUUGAACCCGGGAGGCAGAUGUUUCAGUGAACCAAGAUUGCACCACUGCACUCCAGCCUGGGUGAACAGAGUAAGACUCUGCCUUAAAAGUAAAAUAAAAUUAAAUUAAAAUUAAAAACCAGAUCUUGCAAGAACUCACUGUCAGAAGAACAGCACCAAGGGUAUGGUGCUGAACCAUUCAUGAAGGAGCCAUCCUCAAGAUCCAGUCAUCUCAUACCAGGUCCACCUCCAUCUAAUAUUGGGAAUUACAAUUCAUCAUGAGGGUUGGUGGAGACAUGGAUCCAAGCCAUGUCACAUAUUAUCCUGACUGUAGUGGUUUAAGAUAACAAUUUUUAUCUCACAAUUUAUUUUGAAUACAGGCAUGAUUUAGCUGUGUCCUUUGGUUCAGUAUCUCUUCAAAGCUGUAAUCAGGUUUUUCAUGUGUUUGUCAUCAACUGAAAGAUUGACUGAGUAUGGUUCUGAGAUCUCUCAGGUGAUUAUUGGCAGAAUUAAGUUCCUUUUCGAUUCUUGGUCUUAUUUCUUCACCCAUCUACUAUAGUGCAUUCUUGCCAUGCAGCCCUUUUUAUGGAGCAAGUCACAAUACAGCAGCUUGCUUCAUUAGGGCAAGCAAGCAAGACAAGCUGCAGCAAAUGCAAGUAACAUGGAAGUCUUUAUAAUCUAAUCAUGGAAUUGACAUAGUUAAAAACAAAUCAUUAGGUAGGCUCCAAAUUGAUCAGAACAUGGUUAUUGGACAAAACCAUGACUGUCAGGAGGCUGCAUCAUGGGGAGCCAUUUUACAAGCAGCACCAUGGGUGUUAUGGGGGAUUUUAUUACAUUUGUUCUGCUCUUAAGAGUUGAAAGUCUUUAAAAAUGUGUAAGUCUGUCGUUUGUUCUUGACUUCUGUCAUGUUUUCAAGAAUGCAUUAUGCAAUGAUGUAGAAUACUGUUUGUAAAGUAGUUGUCUAGACUCUAGUGAAAAUAAUUACAGAUAAUCUCAGUUCAUCAACGAAUCGGUAUAUUAAUGUCAUAUUUAACAGUUAUAGGAAUAAACUAAGCAUAAUAAUAAAUGAUGAUUUGAA